GGGGCACGGGGGGAGGAAAGCAGGGGAUCGCAAGACCUUGCGCCGAUGGAUGAGCCGAAGUCGGAUUAGCUAGUUGGUAGGGUAACGGCCUACCAAGGCGACGAUCCGUAGCUGGUCUGAGAGGACGACCAGCCACACUGGGACUGAGACACGGCCCAGACUCCUACGGGAGGCAGCAGUGGGGAAUAUUGGACAAUGGGGGCAACCCUGAUCCAGCGACGCCGCGUGUGUGAAGAAGGCCUGCGGGUUGUAAAGCACUUUUAGUGGGGAUGAAAAAUUCAGGGCUAAUAUCCCUGGGUCUUGACCUAACCCAAAGAAAAAGCACCGGCUAACUCUGUGCCAGCAGCCGCGGUAAUACAUAGGGUGCGAGCGUUAAUCGGAAUAACUGGGCGUAAAGGGUGCGUAGGCGGAAUCGCAAGUCAGA
rnacentral:rRNA from 1 species